GAUGAACGCUGGCGGCGUGCUUAACACAUGCAAGUCGAACCGGAAAUACUUCAUUGAGCCUUCGGAGGAUUUGAUUUAUUUCUAGUGGCGGACGGGUGAGUAACGCGUGGGUAACCUGCCUUAUCCAGGGGGAUAACAGUCAGAAAUGACUGCUAAUACAGAAUAAGCGCACAGGACCGCAUGGUCCGGUGGGAAAAACUCCGGCGGUAUAAGAUGGACCCGCGUUGGAUUAGCUGGUUGGUGGGGCAACGGCCCACCAAGGCGACGAUCCAUAGCCGGCCUGAGAGGGUGAACGGGCACAUUGGGACUGAGACACAGCCCAGACUCCUACGGGAGGCAGCAGUGGGGAAUAUUGCACAAUGGGGGAAACCCUGAUGCAGCGACGCCGCGUGAAGGAAGAAGUAUCUCGGUAUGUAAGCUUCUAUCAGCAGGGAAGAUAGUGACGGUACCUGACUAAGAAGCCCCGGCUAACUACGUGCCAGCCGCCGCAGUAACAC
rnacentral:rRNA from 1 species